rnacentral:rRNA from 1 species
CAGCAGCCACGGUAAUACUGAGGGUGCAAGCGUUAUCCGGAUUCACUGGGUUUAAAGGGUGCGUAGGCGGGCAGGUAAGUCAGUGGUGAAAUCUUCGAGCUUAACUCGGAAACUGCCGUUGAUACUAUCUGUCUUGAAUAACGUUGAGGUGAGCGGAAUAUGUCAUGUAGCGGUGAAAUGCUUAGAUAUGACAUAGAACACCGAUUGCGAAGGCAGCUCACUAAACGCUCAUUGACGCUGAGGCACGAAAGCGUGGGGAUCAAACAGGAUUAGAUACCCCGGUAGUCCCUGUCUCUUAUAA